rnacentral:misc_RNA from 1 species
UCCGAGUUGUCCCCGGCAGUCCCCUUAGAGUCCCCGGCAUUACCCGCUGGCAACUAAGAGCAGGGGUUGCGCUCGUUGCGGCACUUAAGCCAACACCUCACGGCACGAGCUGACGACCUGCGUCAUCCCAUCUUUCGAAUGGGGCAGGACUAUACCUUCACCCGAUCGUCAGAAAUCGGGGCCGGCGUAUUGCAUCGCUUAUAAAUUUGGAUUGCUCCAUCAAGCGGUGCCAUUGCAGUCUCUACGGGGUGACUCCGACAGUGCUUCCUUAGCAGCAAUACUCUGACUUUCUGUCGGGCACUUCCCUCGGUAUUGCCCUCGAGCUCAGAAGGUGGGGAUGACGUCGUACACCUGAAC